GCUCUAAUAGCGUAUAUUAAAGUUGUUGCAGUUAAAAAGCUCGUAGUUGUACGUUGAGGUCGGUCGAUCUGGCGGCUCAGGUCGCGCGGAUUCGGUCGGCUUCUUUCUUCUGGGGACCGCGUCGUGCUUCACUGUACGGCGUUGGGACGCAGAUCGUUUACUGUGAAAAAAUUAGAGUGUUCAAGCAGGCCAUCGCUUGA
rnacentral:rRNA from 1 species